rnacentral:rRNA from 1 species
UACGUAGGGUGCAAGCGUUAAUCGGAAUUACUGGGCGUAAAGCGUGCGCAGGCGGUUUUGUAAGUUUGUCGUGAAAUCCCCGGGCUUAACCUGGGAAUUGCGAUUAAGACUGCAAGGCUAGAAUCUGGCAGAGGGGGGUAGAAUUCCACGUGUAGCAGUGAAAUGCGUAGAGAUGUGGAGGAACACCGGUGGCGAAGGCGGCUCUCUGGACCACAACUGACGCUGAGGCGCGAAAGCUAGGGGAGCAAACAGG